AUUGAACGCUGGCGGCAUGCCUUACACAUGCAAGUCGAACGGUAACGGGCCUUCGGGUGCCGACGAGUGGCGAACGGGUGAGUAAUACAUCGGAACGUGCCCGAUCGUGGGGGAUAACGAGGCGAAAGCUUUGCUAAUACCGCAUACGAUCUACGGAUGAAAGCAGGGGACCGCAAGGCCUUGCGCGGACGGAGCGGCCGAUGGCAGAUUAGGUAGUUGGUGGGAUAAAAGCUUACCAAGCCGACGAUCUGUAGCUGGUCUGAGAGGAUGAUCAGCCACACUGGGACUGAGACACGCCCCAGACUCCUAAGGGAGGCAGCAGUGGGGAAUUUUGGACAAUGGGCGCAAGACUGAUCCAGCCAUGCCGCGUGCAGGAUGAAGGCCUGCGGGUUGUAAACUGCUUUUGUACGGAACGAAAAGCCUUCUUUUAAUACAGGAGGGUCAUGACGGUACCGUAAGAAUAAGCACCGGCUAACUACGUG
rnacentral:rRNA from 1 species